rnacentral:snRNA from 1 species
AGCUCGGUCGAAGAAGACAACCUUCCCCCCCGAGGACAGGACCUGUCUUUGGUCAAGGGUAUACGAGUAGCUGUGCUCCCCUGCUAGAACCUCCAAACAAGCUCUCAAAGAGGACCACACCAAGACACAUCAUAAUUGAAAUGCUAAGAGCAAAAGACAAAGAGAGAAUCUUAAAAGCAGCAAGAGAAAAACAGUUAGUUACCU